AUAUGCAUGUAUGCAUGUGCAUGUGUGUGUGCACGAGUGCACACAUACACACACAC
rnacentral:miRNA from 1 species